UAUGUUUAACAGUGCAAUAUGGUUUGGUGUUAGUGAGUGCUGAUUGUUCGCAUACAGUACCCUGACCAGCUUUAAGUGUCUCAGGCAUAGGAUGAGGGUUUUGUGAGCUCGCACAAGUGGAACUCGAGUCUAAAAGGUUUAUGAUCUUGAUGCAACUGCAAAUGAUAUAAAGAAGCCCAUAAGUUCAGGGUUACCUAUGUUAUAUCCUACUUCUGAAGAUAAUUUAGAGAGAAAUAGUGUCAACAGAAGAAGAAAAGUUGAUUGGUGAAAAGAGACACAAAGAAUGUGCUCGUUCGAGAUGUUC
rnacentral:lncRNA from 1 species